rnacentral:ncRNA from 1 species
UUCUAGGAGGAUUGACAGAUUGAGAGCUCUUUCUCGAUUCGGUGGAUGGUGGUGCGCGUCCAUUCUUAGUUGGUGAUUUGUGGUAAAUUCCGAUAACGAACGAGACUCUAGCCUAUUAAAUAAGUGCGUGGUUCUCUGCACCUUGCAUCCUUCUUAGAGGGACAAGCGGCUCCUAGCCGCACGAGCCAGAGCAAUAACAGGUCUGUGAUGCCCUUAGAU